UGUCAGAUUGAAAAAACAAAUUUUAAGCAUUAUAGUGAAGAUUAUGAACUUCUGAUGUUUUUAAACCUACUUUACAGUAUUACUUUUGUACUUAACAAAUAGUACCAGAUGGAAAUUUAUUAUUUCUUGCAUUUCCCAUGAGAGCUGUAUUCUUUAGGCAUUACCUCUGCUGUUUUACUUUCUUCCCAAAAUGAUUAGAGGAUUACAACCAUCAAAAACAAGCCCUGGCAUGGAAAUGUUCUCUCCUUUUCUUUCUCUUCUUUCUCUUCUUUCCUCCUUCCUGUCACAAAAGCUGAAAAAUAAGAUCCAAUCCUUCUCUCAUCACAUGUGCACACCCAGGACACUGAAUGAAUUCAGGGGUCAGUGCUACUGUCACAGCACCACCAGUUAAGACACAGAGACAGCUAUGAUGACAGUUUCUCCCUCUGAAGGGGUUAUAGUGUGGUCACCAGACAGGGCACAAAAAGUGGGAUAAGGCAGCAAUUAACUUAACCGCCAAGUGAGUGCUGGAAAUCUUGGCCUCUUUUGGGAACCAUCAGCUCCACCUUCCUACAUCUGUUUAUGAAGACCAUAUCCAGUACACUCUAAAUGAUAAAUAAUUCGAUUAUGUGAAGAAGAAGAAGAAGGAGAAGGAGAAGGAGAAGGAGAAGGAGAAGGAGAAGGAGAAGAAGAAGAAGAAGAAGAAGAAGAAGAAGAAGAAGAAGAAGAAGAAGAAGAAGAAGAAGAAGAAGAAGAAGAAGAAGAAGAAGAAGUGACCCAUUUUUCCAAUUCCCUCCUUGACAGCUUAGCACAAGGAAAAUUGAAUCACCAUGAUGUGACCCAACUCUGUCACUCAGCUCCCCUCAAAUCUCAACACCUUGUAUCCCAAUGAUACAUUAUCAACCAAGCACAAAUGAGCUGGUGGAGGCCUCUUAAAAAAAAACAAAAAGAGGAUGUUUUAAAAUUUCAAUGAACAUUGAUGGCUUAUUUAGGAUUUAUGUUCCAGAAACAUCCUCUGUAGAAGCAAGCAUCUGUGUUCUUUUGAGAAGCUAGGAAUAGGAGACUUGGAGAGAAUGAAAGUUAGUGUCAAUCCAUGUUCUCAAAAGGUAUACUCCAUAGAGCUCAAGGACACUAGUCCAGGACAUAGAGAUUAUUUUACUGUUGAAUUAUGCUCUGGCACAUCUUAGCAUUUAAGAAUAUAUUUCUCCUUCUCACUUUCAACCAACUGCUUUUUUAAAAAACAGAGAGACUCAGUGUGAAAGUUUUUAAUGAAGAGCUGGGAAUAAGGAUUAGCGAGCUCUUGGUAGAAAUUGUCCUAUUGUGCUGCAUUUUACAAACAAGCAUGCCCUACUAAUAGGAGCAGGACUUCAGAGGCACCAGAGAAAUUAGGUGGCAUGAGCCGAAGAGUGGAUCUUAAAGUUAUUGCUGAACAUCUGUCAACCAUCUGCCAGGCAAGCUGAGAGCUCAGCACAGACGCACUCGAGUACUUCAGGGAGCCCAUACAAAGACGACACGUUCAGGGAAUGUCAGGAAGAAACUUCUAUUCCCUUCUAUGAUAGGAUCCAUGCUUUUCCAGUCUUCUUUUUCUCCUCCCACCACACCAUCACUUUCUUUUAUGGUGUGAAUGUUCGUGGUCCCUUUACAUCUCAUGCCUUCAAACAACACCAGAUUUGAACCUCAAAACAUUUUUCUUUUCCUUUUUCCAUCCCGUCAAGCAGUUUCAAAAAGAAAGGCAGCAGUUAUUAAAGUGAAUCAGCAUCAGCCAGCCAAUAAUAGGUCCUAAAUUGCUUUUCCCAGGAGAACCGCCUGAUCCUGAAAUAGGUGAGAAACCAACAACUGUCCCAGCAAUUGAAUUGGGCUAAAAAUCAAUGGGCACCUUUUUAAAAUAAUCUUUUGGUGAAAGUGGACCCCAAGAGUCAGCUGGUAGAGUCCCAAACCUUUCCCUCUUUCAGACAUGUUAAGAGAUCCUGGCCAACUUAAAUUUUUGUCCCCUUUGCCCAAUGUUUAAAAUGAAGCCGGUUUGCCUACAUUAUAAGACAGUUGUGAGGUGCCAUUGACUCCUAACUAGAGUACUUCAAAAUCCAAACAUAAAGGCCAAGGUCAGUGGAGCCUAGUAGGAGACUAGCCUUCUGGUUGUUAAGUCACAUCAAAAGAAAACAGUGUGGCCAUGUCCAGGGACAUGGAAAUUUAGAGAGCUUUGCUAAGCUAUUCACCAGAUAGACUUCCAGGGAGCCAACCUAUCAACACAGGAAGACACCACCCAGCCAAAAGCCAGAGAAAUUGACUUUCCUUGUGUGCAUAAAGCCCUGAAUUCCCACCUGGACAUGACCUACAGCUCACCUUACGUAUUCUUACAUAUGCCCUUAAUGCAGUUAAGCUUAUAAAUAAGCCAACACAUGUGUAAACAUGGCAUUCUCAUGUGGCCCGGUGGCUCUGAGCCUGCACUACGCUUACCCUGCAUGAUGAUGUUGGAAACUCUAAAGUGCACUUCGUGCACAGCAGUAUUUAAACUCAUCAUCACUGGGCCAGGGAUUUAGCUCAGUGGUUUCGCCUGCCUCGCAAGCGCAGGGUCCCGAGUUCGAUCUCUGGUACCAAAAAAAAAAAAAAAAAAAAAAAAAAAUCAAUAAACUCAUCAUCACUGAAAUAGAAUCAUGGUGAAAAGUUGGUUUGUUAUCUCCCACUGAGCAGAGACUAGCAGGAGGUGAUAAAGAGCACACCUGUGGUAGCAUAUGACCUGCAUUUACAAGUUUAUCUUCCAGAUUAAAGUGUGCCGUAAGAACAGGGUACUGCUAAUAGGGUCUGCACCAUUUCCGGGGCUCGGUUGACCUACAGGACAUUACUACUGGCUUCCGGGGGAACUGUCCAAAAUGGAGAUUCCUCCCGAGGAAGCCAGGAAACAGUUCUCAAUGUUACUGACUCAAAGUUUUAUUUUGCCAGUUUUUCUAAUUUUUUCAGUGAGCAUGGCAACUGCAGCAGAGGUUAGAGCUGAGGAAAGCGGGGCUGAGUAUUCUUUCUGUAAAGGAAGGAAGGACUCCAUCCCUGUAAAAUGAUACAGAAUGUCACUCUCAAAAAGUAACAGCAUGUCAAUUAGAAUGAAAGAAGGAAAUUAUGUAUGUAUGCCUAUUAUUCUUUGUGAAUGUCUUUCAUUUAUCUAAAAUUAUAUUAGAAGCCAGACUGAUAAAAUAAAAAAUUCAA
rnacentral:lncRNA from 1 species